UACGGAGGGUGCAAGCGUUAUCCGGAUUUAUUGGGCGUAAAGAGCGUGUAGGCGGCUAGGUAGGUCCGUUGUGAAAACUCGAGGCUCAACCUCGAGACGUCGAUGGAAACCAUCUAGCUAGAGUCCGGAAGAGGAGAGUGGAAUUCCUGGUGUAGCGGUGAAAUGCGCAGAUAUCAGGAAGAACACCAACGGCGAAGGCAGCUCGCUGGGACGGAACUGACGCUAAGGCGCGAAAGCGUGGGGAGCGAACAGG
rnacentral:rRNA from 1 species